GGGCGGGAACAACUUCUCACACAGACACUUACUCACUUUAGGAGUUUUCCUUCUUUUUGUUUAACCAGUGCAUGUUCUACAGUCCUUCUCAUUGCUAACUGCAUCCACUGGCUUAAGAAGAUGGUGACAGCCUCCUCUGUGUGGUUCCACAUGUUUGUUUUUAAAUGCCUGCUUGAUUAGGAUACAAGAAUGCAACAGAAAGACCUGGAGGCAGACUUCCCGGGGACUUUAAUGAUGGUUUCUCGCACAGACGGAGACGUUAUGCUAUCAUGUCGAGGAGGAAAUACUCACACGGAAGUGUACUGUCUGCAUUUUUACUUGCAGUUGCUUUGACACGAGAGAGCAGGGCCUGUUGAACUGCCAUGCUUCUACAGUAGCCCAGGAUGGACACUGGCUCUGCAAAACCUUCUUCUAUAUUUGCCAACUCAUCACUAAAUGUGUUUGUUUUCCUCCACCUGAUGAGCAGAAAACUGAUGCACUUCAUGCCUGACUCCCUAGAGGUGAUGUUACACCCUUGGACUUGAGCCAGCAGGGAUACCACACUCUACUGCUGCCAGCAGUUUCAUGUCAGAAUGUAAUCUAAAAAGACUAGCAUUCAUUUUCAAGCCUCCGAGAUUUAACGCUGGUACAGUGUGUUCCUCCUCCAUCAACCACCAACAAAUGGUACAACCACAGAUGUCAGAAGUCUUCCUUUAUUUCUGGAAACAAGGUGGGAUUCCCUAUUUCUUGGCAGCCAGCCUAGCUGACUAUUAAGUAAUUUCCCUGUGUCACAUGUUGUUCAAAUUUCAUGAACUAGAGUUAUUAAAACCAAAGUCCACUGUGGGGGGAUCUUUCUGUCCAUUAAUGAUAGCAUUCACCACAUUCCUUGACCACAGAUGAGAGCAGAUACUCAGACAUUCACAGAAAUUUCCUUCCUACUCCUCCCUGGCCUCUGGCCUACUGGAUUUGAGCUGAAACUAGCAGGCGAAGACAGGAAACUGACAGGAUUCCACCGGCUGGGUCUGCUGGGUACUGUGCACACACACGUGUAUACAAAUAGGGGUGUGCCCAGGGGAUGAACUGCAGGGGAUGGAGCACGGGAGGUGUCACAGGGAAAAAAUAAUUACUUAUCCAUGCUCUCCAAUUACUCAUUUGUGGUCGCGAUUUAAUAAUUCAUGCUCUCAAAUUACUAAUUUGUGCUCUCGAUUUAAUAUUGAUUACGACGUGAGGCAGCUGACAUCUGUCUCUCCCUCUCUUACCACCCAGAAGCAACAAAGCCACUCUUAAAAUGAAAUAUAGAGUAGCUGUGUAGGUUAACUGCUGCUUCCACACGCAAAACAACAUCUGAACGUAAAUCUUUUUUCUCCCCCACACACACACACAGGCACAGAUACUGAAUGCAGUGUGUUAGUAUCUAGUUGACACUCAGGCAACACAUGAGUGACAGAGGUUCAGUCUGAUAUCAGCGCAGAAAGGAGCAGUGUAAAGAGAGAAAUGGCUAAUCUUGUCUGCAUUCUGUCUGAGGAGUAAUGGGAACCCUGCUGAUCAGCAUGACCAAUGGACCAUUUUCCCAGCAGCCAUUUUGACAUGUAAUUGUAGGGUAAACACAGGUGACACUAAUUAAGGUUCUUCUCAAUUUGGUGCAACAGAGCCUUUCCAGUCAGACAACAUGCACAAUAGCAGCACCCUGACUUUGUUUGACCUGAAACUGAAUCUUAAUUAGUAUCAUCUGUAUCACCUGUGUUUACCCUACUAUUUCAUGUCAAAAUGGCUGCUGUGAAAAUGAUCUAUUUCCCGCAGUGCUUCACAGGAUCCGCACCUUGGCCAGCCAUUACGACACCCCUUUUGUGCAAAAUACAUGCGUCUGCCUCGCACCAAAACCGACAUUAAAUCGAGAGCAUGAAUUAUUAAAUCGAGAGAAGAAUUAGUAAUUUGAGAGUGUGCUCCGAGACUCUUUUUAUUUUGAGGGAGGGAUAGAGGAGAGAGAUGAAGGUCAAAGUAUGGACUUGUGGAUGAGACACUGCCCACUGGAGAUUUCGAUACAAGCAGCCACACAGACUGUUCCAGGUUUGAGGAGGUGAAGUACAAGGCUGUUGCUGCAAUUGAAAACAGGAAGGAGGAAAGGGAUGCUCUCAGUGCUGUUUAUUCAUCAGAUUUAUCCCACUCAGGGUUUGGUAAAUGUUCUUAUUUCUGUAUAAUCAAUGUCAGUGGGAAUGCGUCAUUGCCUGAAGUUUCUGUGUUAAACUUGGCAAAGCCGGGCUGGCAUUAUUAAAUGUCUGAAGUUACUAAAAGACGAGGGAUCUGCCCUUCAGACAAACAAACACAUGCCUGCACUGAAUGCCCACAGGUCCAUAAGUAACAGGCUUGGGAACAUUUUUAAGUCUGCCAGAAUGACCCACGAGUGACCCCCGUUCCACCUGAGGACUUUAUGUAUGAACCUUUCCCUUAUUAGAAAAGUCUUGGAGUGUUUCUAAAAGCAAUGUGUCUAUGUUUUCAGAAGAAUUAAAUCUUGAGGAACAUGGGUGGAAUGUGCACUUUGUCGUUGCUUAAGGCUAUACAUAAAUACAUUGACUCCUUCUUUGAAUGUAGAGCAAUUGCAAUGCUGAGAAAAGAAUGUUUAGCUGAAUGAAAAUAAUCAAUUUUUAAUGACGCAAACGUAGUGAUAUCACACUGUAAAAUGACUGUACUGCAAGUUAAAACCCUCUAUUCAACAGUAUAGUAGUUUUACAUUAAGUAUACAAUGUAAAAAUACUCAUUAUGUAGAAGUAGUAUGAUUGGCUUGUUAUUACUGAUACAAUAACAUAUCAACAGCAUUGCAAUGUGUCACAGGUUUUAAAACAUAUGGAUGUAUUUUUAACUAUUUUAUAUAAUGUUGGGUAUAGUGACUAUAUAAUAAUGUACAUGAAUUUGCCAACUGACUUCCAAACAAAAUGAAGUGGAGUAAAAAGUAAUUAUUUUGUGUGAAAUGUUGUGGAAUAGAAGUAUAAAGUAACAUAAAAAUAAAUAUUAUCUAUAGUAUCUAAAAUAAAAUCUGUUAUUUUACUGUUCUUCUACUGCCCCA